rnacentral:rRNA from 1 species
UACGUAGGGUGCAAGCGUUGUCCGGAAUUAUUGGGCGUAAAGAGCUCGUAGGCGGUCUGUCGCGUCGGAUGUGAAAAUCCAGGGCUCAACCCUGGACCUGCAUUCGAUACGGGCAGACUAGAGUUCGGCAGGGGAGACUGGAAUUCCUGGUGUAGCGGUGAAAUGCGCAGAUAUCAGGAGGAACACCGGUGGCGAAGGCGGGUCUCUGGGCCGAUACUGACGCUGAGGAGCGAAAGCCAGGGGAGCAAACGGG